rnacentral:rRNA from 1 species
AACGAACGCUGGCGGCAUGCCUAACACAUGCAAGUCGAACGAAGCCUUCGGGCUUAGUGGCGCACGGGUGCGUAACGCGUGGGAAUCUGCCCCUCGGUUCGGAAUAACAGUUAGAAAUGACUGCUAAUACCGGAUGAUGACGAAAGUCCAAAGAUUUAUCGCCGAGGGAUGAGCCCGCGUAGGAUUAGCUUGUUGGUGGGGUAAUGGCCCACCAAGGCGACGAUCCUUAGCUGGUCUGAGAGGAUGAUCAGCCACACUGGGACUGAGACACGGCCCAGACUCCUACGGGAGGCAGCAGUGGGGAAUAUUGGACAAUGGGCGCAAGCCUGAUCCAGCCAUGCCGCGUGAGUGAAGAAGGCCU